rnacentral:rRNA from 1 species
CCCUUAGAUGUUCUGGGCUGCACGCGCGCUACACUGAUGCGUUCAACGAGUGUAUAACCUUACCCGAUAGGGUUGGGUAAUCUUUUGAACACGCAUCGUGAUGGGGAUAGAUUAUUGCAAUUAUUAAUCUUCAACGAGGAAUGCCUAGUAAGCGCAAGUCAUCAGCUUGCGUUGAUUACGUCCCUGCCCUUUGUACACACCGCCCGUCGCUACUACCGAUUGAAUGAUUUAGUGAGGACUUCGGACUGGGACCGAUGCGGCUUUCGGGCUGCGUCGGUAUUCUGGAAAGAUGUCCAAACUGUAUCAUUUAGAGGAAGUAAAAGUCGUAACA